UACAGAGGGGGCCAGCGUUAUUCGGAAUUAUUGGGCGUAAAGGGCGCGUAGGCGGCCAUGCGUGUCUUCCGUGAAAUCCCUCGGCUUAACUGAGGACGUGCGGAAGAAACUGCAAGGCUCGAGUCCGGGGAGAGGGGGGUGGAAUUCCCAGUGUAGCGGUGAAAUGCGUAGAUAUUGGGAGGAACACCGGUGGCCGAAGGCGGCCCCCUGGACCGGUACUGACGCUGAGG
rnacentral:rRNA from 1 species